UACCAGCACCCCGAGUGGUCGGGACGUUUAUUGGGCCUAAAGCAUCCGUAGCCGGUUCUACAAGUCUUCCGUUAAAUCCAACUGCUUAACAGGUGGGCUGCGGAAGAUACUAUAGAGCUAGGAGGCGGGAGAGGCAAGCGGUACUCGAUGGGUAGGGGUAAAAUGCGUAGAUAUCAUGAGGAACACCAGAGGCGAAGGCGGCUACCUGGACAGUUACUGACGCUCAGGCACGAAAGCGUGGGGAGCAAAAGGG
rnacentral:rRNA from 1 species